UACGAAGGGGGCUAGCGUUGCUCGGAAUCACUGGGCGUAAAGGGCGCGUAGGCGGCGUUUUUAAGUCGGGGGUGAAAGCCUGUGGUCUACAACCACAGAACUUGCCUUCGAUGACUGGGACGCUUGAGUGUGGUAGAGGUUGGUGGAACUGCGAGUGUAGAGGUGAAAUUCGUAGAUAUUCGCAAGAACACCGGUGGCGAAGGCGGCCAACUGGACCAUCACUGACGCUGAGGCGCGAAAGCGUGGGGAGCAAACAGG
rnacentral:rRNA from 1 species